GACGUGUGCCUUCCCAUCUGCCGCGGAGGCCCUCAUCGUCCUUAAAGAAUUUCGUUUUGACACUGCAGACAGCAUGCGAGCUGCUGAGCACCUUGAAGGGCUCAUAGAAAUUGUGUCCGCGCGAAUUCCUGCUCCAA
rnacentral:lncRNA from 1 species